GUGAAAUUGGUAGACACGCUGCUAGUGCUAGAGCAUCUCGGUUCGAGUCCGAGUGGCGGCA
rnacentral:tRNA from 1 species